rnacentral:rRNA from 1 species
CCCUUAGACGUUCUGGGCCGCACGCGCGCUACACUGACCAGUGCAACAAGCAUCCGUCCUUGGCCGACAGGCCCGGGCAAUCUUUGAACGCUGGUCGUGAUGGGGAUAGACUUUUGCAAUUUUUGGUCUUCAACGAGGAAUUCCUAGUAAACGCAAGUCAUCAACUUGCAUUGAUUACGUCCCUGCCCUUUGUACACACCGCCCGUCGCACCUACCGAUCGAAGGUAAUGAUGAGCCCUCAGGAUUGUGGCCUCGUCGCGUCAGCGUCUUGGCCGCGAGAAUCUGUGCAAAUCCCUACCUUUAGAGGAAGGUGAAGUCGUAACA